GCCCCGGUGGCACAAUCGGUUAGCGCGCCGUACUUAUAAUGCGGAGGUUGUGAGUUCGAACCUCACCUGGGACA
rnacentral:tRNA from 1 species